rnacentral:lncRNA from 1 species
UGUCCACUGUUUCGGCCACUUACUCUAUGAAAUGACUUAUGGACGACCUCCAGACUCCGUGCCUGUGGACUCCUUCCCUCCGGCGUCAUCCAUGGCUGUGGGUCAGUUCAGGGCUCGGGAGUGGGGUCUGCUGGGAUCUGUAGGCUGCAGAGCUACUUCACCUCUUGCCAAACUCCAAGAAAGAUGGGCAGCAAGUUGUCAUCCUCCCUAGCCAGAACACACUUCAGUGAACGUUUGGAUGGCUUGUCUGUCUGUUCAUCUGUCUGACUUCUGUAAACCGCACUGUCCUUCUGAAAGCAGGAGAACGUAAAGAGAACUGUGGCCAGCUUGGCCUUUAAUCAGAAGCAGAGCAGCCAGGCAAGUGUCAGAGUCCCAUCCAAGCAGGAGUGGGAGUUGAAAGGAACUUGAGAGCCAUGAC